CCCAGUCACGAUAGGAGUAUAGUCAGUGGGGGCAGACGCGAAACCUUGUGAUCUACCCAUGAGCAGGAUGAAGUUCCGGUAACACGGAAUGGAGGUCCGAACUGGUGGACGUUGAAAAGUCCUCGGAUGACUUGUGGGUAGGGGUGAAAGGCUAAUCAAACUUGGAGAUAGCUCGUACUCCCCGAAAUGUUUUUUGGAACAGCGUCAGGUGAAGUGUCACAGAGGUAGAGCUACUAAUUGGGUGAGGGGGUGUCAAAGCCUACCGAGCUCAGAUAAACUCCGAAUACUGAUGACAUGUUUCCUGGCAGUGAGCCCUUGGGUGCUAAGGUCCUAGGGCGAGAGGGAAAGAACCCAGACCAUCAGCUAAGGUCUCCAAAUGUAUACUAAGUUGAACUAACGUGGUCCCAUUGCACAGACAGCUAGGAUGUUUGCUUGGAAGCAGCAAUUCAUUUAAAGAGUGCGUAACAGCUCACUAGUCGAGCGAUAGGGCGUGGAUAAUAAACGGGCAUCAAGCGGUUUACCGAAGCUUUGGACUUUGCGCGAGCGAAGUGGUAGGGGAGCAUUCCGGCGACGAAGAAGGUGUGCUGUGAGGCAUGCUGGAGUUUCCGGAAAAGCAAAUGUAGGCAUGAGUAACGAUAAUUCUGGUGAGAAACCAGGACACCGAAAGACUAAGGUUUCCCUGGCCAUGCUAAUCAGCCGGGGGUUAGUCGGGUCCUAAGGCGUACCCGAAGGGGGAAGUCGAUGGACAACUGGUUAAUAUUCCAGUACUGCCGUUAACUGCGAAGGAAGGACGGAGGAGUGAAAGCACCGCGGCCUGACGAAAUAGGUCGUUGAAGGGGGGUAGUUAUACACCGGACAGGCAAAUCCGUUCGGAGUGAUGAGCCCUGAUAGUACCGCAAGGCUUCGGCUGCGCGGAUAGUGUGCCUAAACAGACUUCCAGGAAAAAUUUCUAAGCUAUAGGUUAAUGGCACCCGUACCGUAAACCGACACAGGUAGUCGAGGAGAGAAUCCUAAGGUGCUCGAGUGAUUCACGGCUAAGGAACUAGGCAAAAUGGCCCUGUAACUUCGGGAGAAGGGGCGCCCCUGUGAAAGGGGGCCGCAGUGAAGAGGCCCAGGCGACUGUUUAACAAAAACACAUGGCUAUGCUAAAUUGAAAGAUGAGGUAUAUGGCCUGACACCUGCCCGGUGCCGGAAGGUUAAGAGGGGAGCUUAGCGCAAGCGAAGGUUUGAAUCGAAGCCCCGGUAAACGGCGGCCGUAACUAUAACGGUCCUAAGGUAGCGAAAUUCCUUGUCGGGUAAGUUCCGACCUGCACGAAUGGUGUAACGAUCUGGGCGCUGUCUCGGCCGUGAGCUCGGUGAAAUUGAAGUCUCGGUGAAGAUGCCGAGUACCCGCAACGGGACGGAAAGACCCCGUGAACCUUCACUACAACUUUACAUUGAUUUUGGGUACGUCAUGUGUAGGAUAGGUGGGAGACUGCGAAGCUGUGUCGCCAGGCAUGGUGGAGUCAUUGUUGAAAUACCACCCUUGAUUUAUCUGGAGUCUAAUCCUGCAGAAGUGGGAGACAGUGUAUGGUGGGUAGUUUGACUGGGGUGGUCGCCUCCAAAAGAGUAACGGAGGCUUCCAAAGGUUCCCUCAGCACGCUUGGUAACCGUGCGCAGAGUGCAAUAGCAUAAGGGAGCUUGACUGUGAGACCGACGGGUCGAUCAGGUACGAAAGUAGGGUAUAGUGAUCCGGUGGUUCUGAAUGGAAGGGCCAUCGCUCAAAGGAUAAAAGGUACUCCGGGGAUAACAGGCUGAUCUCCCCCAAGAGCUCAUAUCGACGGGGAGGUUUGGCACCUCGAUGUCGGCUCGUCACAUCCUGGGGCUGGAGAAGGUCCCAAGGGUUCGGCUGUUCGCCGAUUAAAGUGGCACGCGAGCUGGGUUCAGAACGUCGCGAGACAGUUCGGUCCCUAUCUGUUGUGGGCGUAGGAAGAUUGAGAGGAUCUGUCAUUAGUA
rnacentral:rRNA from 1 species